AGUUUUGCCCAGUGGCCCUCUUACAGCUAAUGAGGCUUAUCUGAGGCAAGAGAAUUGCUAAUUGAAAACUUCCCCCAGUACUCCAUUGUGAUGUCUUGCAAUAUAGUCAGCAUGAGGAAUUUUUGUUAGUCACUACAGACCCUGGAAAAAAGAGA
rnacentral:snRNA from 1 species